GAAGUCGGCCGGACGAUCGCGGCCCCCGCGUGCGGGGGCGGAGGAAAGUCCGGGCUCCGCAGGGCAGGGUGCCAGGUAACGCCUGGGGGGCGUGAGCCCACGGAAAGUGCCACAGAAAACAAACCGCCCAAGUCGCCGCGAGGCGAACGGCAAGGGUGAAAAGGUGCGGUAAGAGCGCACCGCGGCGCUGGCAACAGUCGCCGGCACGGAAAACCCCACCCGGAGCAAGACCAAAUAGGGGAGCGCCAGCGUGUGGCCCGCACGGCUCCCGGGUAGGUCGCUACAGGCGUCCGGUGACGGGCGUCGCAGAUGAAUGAUCGUCCUCGACAGAACCCGGCUUACAGGCCGACUUCCUCC
rnacentral:RNase_P_RNA from 1 species